rnacentral:rRNA from 1 species
UACAGAGGGUGCGAGCGUUGUCCGGAAUCACUGGGCGUAAAGGGCGCGUAGGCGGCCUGGUAAGUAGGGGGUGAAAUCUCAUGGCUCAACUGUGAGGCUGCCUUCUAGACUGCCGGGCUUGAGCAUGGUAGAGGCUGGUGGAAUUCCCGGUGUAGCGGUGGAAUGCGUAGAGAUCGGGAAGAACAUCCGUGGCGAAGGCGGCCAGCUGGGCCAUCUGCUGACGCUGAGGCGCGAAAGCGUGGGGAGCAAACAGG